rnacentral:rRNA from 1 species
AAUAUUGCACAAUGGGGGAAACCCUGAUGCAGCAACGCCACGUGUGGGAAGAAGCAUUUCGGUGUGUAAACCACUGUCGUGAGGGAAUAAGGCAUCGUUUCGGCGAUGUUGAAUGUACCUCGAGAGGAAGCACCGGCAAACUUCGUGCCAGCAGCCGCGGUAAUACGAGGGGUGCAAGCGUUGUUCGGAAUCACUGGGCGUAAAGGGAGCGCAGGCGGAAGCUCAAGCGGAUUGUACAAUACCGGGGCCCAACCCCGGACCUGCAGUCCGAACUGGGUUUCUUGGAUAGUUCAGGGGCAAGCGGAAUUCCUGGUGUAGCGGUGGAAUGCGUAGAGAUCAGGAAGAACACCGAUGGCGAAGGCAGCUUGCUGGGGACUUAUCGACGCUCAUGCUCGAAAGUGCGGGUAGCAAACA